AUGAACGCUGGCGGCGUGCCUAAUACAUGCAAGUCGAGCGAACAGACGAGGAGCUUGCUCCUCUGACGUUAGCGGCGGACGGGUGAGUAACACGUGGAUAACCUACCUAUAAGACUGGGAUAACUUCGGGAAACCGGAGCUAAUACCGGAUAAUAUAUUGAACCGCAUGGUUCAAUAGUGAAAGACGGUUUUGCUGUCACUUAUAGAUGGAUCCGCGCCGCAUUAGCUAGUUGGUAAGGUAACGGCUUACCAAGGCAACGAUGCGUAGCCGACCUGAGAGGGUGAUCGGCCACACUGGAACUGAGCCACGGUCCAGACUCCUACGGGAGGCAGCAGUAGGGAAUCUUCCGCAAUGGGCGAAAGCCUGACGGAGCAACGCCGCGUGAGUGAUGAAGGUCUUCGGAUCGUAAAACUCUGUUAUUAGGGAAGAACAAAUGUGUAAGUAACUAUGCACGUCUUGACGGUACCUAAUCAGAAAGCCCCGGCUAACUACGUG
rnacentral:rRNA from 1 species